AAUACUGCUAUCAGCGUUUUAGAAGAACGUAUUCGUGAAAUAGUACAAACUUUAUAGUUGUAUGAUAUAGAAGGAAAAACAUUGUGGACGCGGGUUCGAUUCCCGCCUGGUCCACCAAAAGCAUUCUGAUGUAGGUCUUGGUCGUUACCCGCGAGAUGCGAAAACGGCGUCCCAGAGUGCUUCUGAUGGGCCAGUCAUGGUUUCGACAUGGUGAAGAGUACUAAAGUGGACAACUCGGUAGGCGAUGACCGUAAAUCAAGCAAACUAAAGUAAACGCAAAUGAUGAGGUUUACACCUUAGCUGCAUAAGCUAAGUGGGGUUUUGGCGGUUGGCCUUAUU
rnacentral:tmRNA from 1 species